rnacentral:rRNA from 1 species
AACGAACGCUGGCGGCAGGCCUAACACAUGCAAGUCGAACGCUCCGCAAGGGGAGUGGCGCACGGGUGAGUAACACGUGGGAACCUACCUUCUGGUACGGAACAACCAAGGGAAACUUUGGCUAGAACCGUAUACGACCUCCGGGUGAAAGAUUGAUCGCCGGAAGAGGGGCCCGCGUCCGAUUAGGUAGUUGGUGAGGUAACGGCUCACCAAGCCUACGAUCGGUAGCUGGUCUGAGAGGAUGGCCAGCCACACUGGGACUGAGACACGGCCCAGACUCCUACGGGAGGCAGCAGUGGGGAAUAUUGGACAAUGGGCGCAAGCCUGAUCCAGCCAUGCCGCGUGAGUGAUGAAGGCCUU